ACAUAUUUUAGAGCUUAAAUCAAAUUAUUAAUCUAUAUAAUUUUACUAUCAAAUCCAUUUUUAAUAAAUAUUUCAAAUUUAUAUCCACAUAAAUAAAUUUAUUGUAACCCAUUUAAUACUUAAAUAUAAGCUACACCUUGAUCUGAUAUACUUUUUAUUUUAAAAUUAUGAAAAUUAAUAUUCUUAUAAAAUAUUCUAAUAACAACGGUAUAUAAACUGAUAACAAAUUUAAGUAAGGUCCAUCGUGGAUUAUCGAUUACAAAACAAGUUCCUCUGAAUAGACUAAAAUACCGCCAAAUUUUUUAAGUUUCAAGAAC
rnacentral:rRNA from 1 species